UACGUAGGGGGCAAGCGUUGCCCGGAUUUAUUGGGCGUAAAGAGCGUGUAGGCGGCCAGGUAGGUCGGUUGUGAAAACUAGAGGCUUAACCUCUAGACGUCGACCGAAACCAUCUGGCUAGAGUCCGGAAGAGGAGAGUGGAAUUCCUGGUGUAGCGGUGAAAUGCGCAGAUAUCAGGAAGAACACCCGUGGCGAAAGCGGCUCUCUGGGACGGUACUGACGCUGAGACGCGAAAGCGUGGGGAGCGAACAGG
rnacentral:rRNA from 1 species